UACGUAGGGUGCGAGCGUUGUCCGGAUUUAUUGGGCGUAAAGGGCUCGUAGGCGGCCUGUCGCGUCGGGAGUGAAAGCCCACUGCUUAACGGUGGGUCUGCUUCCGGUACGGGCGGGCUAGAGUAUGGCAGGGGAGACUGGAAUUCCUGGUGUAGCGGUGGAAUGCGCAGAUAUCAGGAGGAACACCGGUGGCGAAGGCGGGUCUCUGGGCCAUACUGACGCUGAGGAGCGAAAGCGUGGGGAGCGAACAGG
rnacentral:rRNA from 1 species